AGAGAGAGACAUGCGCGCAUAUCAAUAAGCGGAGGAAAAGAAACUAACUAGGAUUCCCUCAGUAACGGCGAGUGAAGCGGGAAGAGCUCAAAUUUGAAAUCUUCAAGGUUCUACCUUGACGAAUUGUAGUUUAAAGAAGUGUUUUCUGUUGGAGUUUUGGUAAAAGUUCUUUGGAAUAGGACAUCAUAGAGGGUGAGAAUCCCGUAUUUGACCAUUAUUUCCAGCUUUGUGAUACACUUUCAAAGAGUCGGAUUGUUUGGGAAUGCAGUCCAAAAUGGGUGGUAAAUUUCAUCUAAAGCUAAAUACUUGGCGAGAGACCGAUAGCGAACAAGUACCGUGAGGGAAAGAUGAAAAGAACUUUGAAAAGAGAGUUAAACAGUACGUGAAAUUGUCAAAAGGGAAGCGUUUGACACCAGUGUUGUUUUCUCGAAAAUCAAUUAAAAAAGGCAGGAUUUUGUGUUGUAUUGACUUUAUCAGCUUUCUGCACUCUUUUCUUGUCUUUUUUAAUGCACUUUUCGUUUAACAAGUCAACAUCAAUUUCUUUUGUUGUAAAAGGGUCAUUGGAAGGUGGCUUUCUUUUCGGAGAAAGUGUUUAUAGCCUUUGGCCUCUGCAAUCGGAGGGAUUGAGGUCUGCAGCGUAGAUCCUUCGGGGUUAGAUACAUUUGUGCUAAGUUAUAGCCUUUCAUAGACAACUUGUUGACUAUGAUCAGUCAUGUAGCUUACUCGCUUAUGCUAUUUUACCUACGCUUAGGAUGUUGAUGUGAUACUGCGAGCA
rnacentral:rRNA from 1 species